ensembl:misc_RNA 7SK 7SK RNA
GGAUGUGGUUCUGACUCUGACAUCUGUCACUCCACUGACCACUGGGGUUAAUUUUUCUGAUCUGGGUGGCUAGGUGGGUGUUCCUCCUCCCUCACUGUUCCAUGGACAUCCUUCCUGAAGCUUCAUUCCAGUUUGAGAGGAUGACCUUCCCUGAAUAAAGGAGGACUGGUCUUUGGUCAAGGGUGUAAAAGUAGCUGUGCUCCCCUGCUAGAACCUCAAGAUAAAUUCUGAAGAUUACUCUUUUAUUUUAUCAUUAAGUAAUACCUCUGUAAUAGGUUAUAUAAAUAUGUAAUAAUUUAUCUAC